UCGAACGGAAAGGCCCUUCGGGGUACUCUAGUGGCGAACGGGUGAGUAACACGUGGGUGAUCUGCCCUGCACUUUGGGAUAAGCCUGGGAAACUGGGUCUAAUACCGAAUAUGACCACGCUCUUCAUGGGGUGUGGUGGAAAGCUUUUGCGGUGUGGGAUGGGCCCGCGGCCUAUCAGCUUGUUGGUGGGGUAAUGGCCUACCAAGGCGACGACGGGUAGCCGGCCUGAGAGGGUGACCGGCCACACUGGGACUGAGAUACGGCCCAGACUCCUACGGGAGGCAGCAGUGGGGAAUAUUGCACAAUGGGCGCAAGCCUGAUGCAGCGACGCCGCGUGAGGGAUGACGGCCUUCGGGUUGUAAACCUCUUUCACCAGGGACGAAGCGCAAGUGACGGUACCUGGAGAAGAAGCACCGGCCAACUACGUGCCAGCAGCCGCGGUAAUACGUAGGGUGCGAGCGUUGUCCGGAAUUACUGGGCGUAAAGAGCUCGUAGGUGGUUUGUCGCGUUGUUCGUGAAAACUCGCAGCUUAACUGUGGGCGUGCGGGCGAUACGGGCAGACUAGAGUACUGCAGGGGAGACUGGAAUUCCUGGUGUAGCGGUGGAAUGCGCAGAUAUCAGGAGGAACACCGGUGGCGAAGGCGGGUCUCUGGGCAGUAACUGACGCU
rnacentral:rRNA from 1 species